rnacentral:tRNA from 1 species
GGGCCCAUAGCUCAUCUGGUAGAGCGCCUGCUUUGCAAGCAGGAGGUGAGCGGUUCGAGCCCGCUUGGGUCCA